GGGCCCAUAGCUCAGUUGGUUAGAGCGCUCGACUCAUAAUCGAUCGGUCGCAGGUUCAAGUCCUGCUGGGCCCA
rfam:Nitrincola nitratireducens strain AK23 contig000005, whole genome shotgun sequence.